rnacentral:rRNA from 1 species
AUUGAACGCUGGCGGCAGGCCUAACACAUGCAAGUCGAACGAGUGGCGGACGGGUGAGUAAUGUCUGGGAAACUGCCUGAUGGAGGGGGCUAACUACUGUAAACGGUAGCUAAUACCGCAUACCAUCGGAUGUUCCCAGGUGGGAUUAGCUAGUAGGUGGGGUAACGGCUCACCCAGGCGACGAUCCCUAGCUGGUCUGAGAGGAUGACCAGCCACCAUGGAACUGCGACCCGGUCCAGACUCCUACGGGAGGCAGCAGGGGGGAAUAUUGCACAAUGGGCGCAAGCCUGAUGCAGCCAUGCCGGGUGUAUGAAGAAGGCCUUCGGGUUGUAAAGUACUUUCAGCGGGGAGGCGUUACCCGCAGAAGAAGCACCGGCUAACUCCGUGCCAGCAGCCGCGGUAAUUC